CUUUAUAUAGGCAAGUCUCUACAUUAUACUUUAUAUAGGCAAGUCUCUACAUUGUAGAAGAGAUAAAGUGUGUGUACACAAAAAUAUUUCUGAAACUUUGACAAUGAAUGAACAAGGUGUGCACAGUCAUAGCUCUUUAUUUAUUGUCAGCAAUAGUCUUUGAAAUUGUUUUUUUCAUUGACAUCAGUUUUUUCUCAAAUUGAUGGAAAGAAGUGGGGGGUUAAUAUUCCACUCAAUAGCAGGCCUGACCUCAAACUGUAUCAGCUGUGUGGAGAGGGACGGAACUGCUUUGUAGGGGACAACAUUCUGAUCAUAGCCAAUACCCAGGCUCUCAAACCUCUUACGACACCAGAUGAGUUACCUCACAACUGAAGGAAGUCAACUUUUAAAUAUGAGGAUAUAUAACAACAAAGUAUCUUUAUACAAAUAAUUUUUACUUUUUAGAAUAUAUCCAUACAUUUCAUUAUUGAUAAUAUUUGUGCAAUAAAAUAUUCAUUAAAAUAAUGAAAGAUUGUGAAAAAUAAAUAAGAUGCAAAAAGGAAAGUCAAAAUUGUUCAUGCAUCAAUAUAAUGUAAGUGUAAUUUCUUUGAAUCUGAACCAAUUGUGACAUGAGUUCUUCAUCUCAAUUUGAUCAUUAAAUAACAAUUGUCUUACAUCAAUGAUGUGGAAACAAGUUGCCAGAAACAUUAACAUUUAGCUUCUAGUAUCAAAGUUUCAUGUUUUGAUCAUAGUAGGGACACUAU